UACUGGGUAUUUUUAGUGGCGAAAGGGUGCGUAACACGUGGGUAAUCUACCGUAAAGUUCGGAAUAACUUCGAGAAAUCAAAGCUAAUACCGAAUGUGAUCUGACAGGGACAUCCCUGUUCCAUUAAAGCUAGGGACCUUCGGGCCUGGCGCUUUACGAUGAGCCCGCGCCCUAUCAGCUUGUUGGUGAGGUAAAAGCUCACCAAGGCUAAGACGGGUAGCCGGUCUGAGAGGACGAUCGGCCACACUGGAACUGAGACACGGUCCAGACACCUACGGGUGGCAGCAGUCGAGAAUCAUUCACAAUGGGGGAAACCCUGAUGGUGCGACGCCGCGUGGGGGAUGAAGGUCUUCGGAUUGUAAACCCCUGUCAUUUGUGAACAAACCUUUUGGUUUAAUAGAUCAAAAGCUGAUAGUAGCAAAAGAGGAAGGGACGGCUAACUCCGUGCCAGCAGCCGCGGUAAUACGGAGGUCCCAAGCGUUGUUCGGAUUUACUGGGCGUAAAGGGUGCGUAGGUGGCCAGGAAAGUUUGAUGUGAAAGCUCCGAGCUCAACUCGGAAAAUGCAUUGAAUACUACUUGGCUUGAGGAUCGGAGGGGAGACUGGAAUUCUCGGUGUAGCAGUGAAAUGCGUAGAUAUCGAGAGGAACACCAGUGGCGAAGGCGAGUCUCUGGACGAUUCCUGACACUGAGGCACGAAAGCUAGGGGAGCAAACAGGAUUAGAUACCCUGGUAGUCCUAGCCGUAAACGGUGCACAC
rnacentral:rRNA from 1 species